GAUUCUCACUGUUUCCUGCUUUGGAGCAUAAGCUGGACAGAGAAUACCAUCGGAGCUCCUCUGGAACAUGUCCUUGUCUUCUCAGAGUGUGAAGUGUGUGUGUGACAGUGCUUUUCUGAGGACUCAGGUGACCUGGAGGCUGGAGAACAGCAUGGAGCAAGGAAAACAAAGACGAUGUGCUGGAGUGUAUGUUGCUUUCAUAAUUAUGUGAAAGAAAAUGUAGAGAAAUUUGAAAGGAGAACUGGUUAUCAGUAGUGCCAUCCUGCUCAAAUAUCUUCAAAUACACACCACCAUCCAUGUGUGGGUUGAUUAAGGAGCUGACGUUCAUUAGAUCUGCAGUCUCCUGACCUGAUGUGCAUCAGAAUCACUGGGAGAACAAACAAACAAAAAUGAAUCCAAAACAAGCAACGAACAGACAGAUUCUCAAGUCUUGCCAAGUCCAAAGAUUGAUUUGGUGGAGAAAUUGUACUUUGAAAGCUGCCCAGGUAAUAAUUCUGGCAUAUAGCCAGGUUUGUAAAAUCUUGAAUGAACUGUCUUGGGCAAACAAAGGAAUUCUAGUUUUUUAUCUGCCAGCUUUUAAAAAUUUCCCAUCUUUGAAAGGAAAGUGUUACAUUAAUCACAAACUCCCAUGGUCAAGGUGAUAGCAAAACAACACUGU
rnacentral:lncRNA from 1 species